rnacentral:rRNA from 1 species
UACGUAGGGGCCGAGCGUUGCCCGGAGUCAUUGGGCGUAAAGCGCGCGCAGGCGGCUUCGCGCGCCCGACGUGAAAGCCCCCGGCUUAACCGGGGAGAGUCGUUGGGGACGGCGGAGCUUGAGGGCGGGAGAGGUCGGUGGAAUUCCCGGUGUAGUGGUGAAAUGCGUAGAGAUCGGGAGGAACACCUGUGGCGAAGGCGGCCGACUGGGCCGACCCUGACGCUGAGGCGCGAAGGCGUGGGGAGCGAACGGG